GGUUUGAUCAAAUUAGGCUAGAGAUAUUAAAUACCAUAUCACUAUAAUGAUACCUGCAUUAUUACAGUUGUACAAUCGUAUAUUUUCCAGCGGCCUCGUCCCAAAAAAGCUUGAAAUAUCCGUUGUUCGGCCUAUAUACAAGAAAGCUACACGGGUCAACAAGUACCGGUUACGUACUGGCGCCGGAUCGCAAAAAGCCUGCUACGCCAAAACUGACAGUCCUACGGCUGCGCUGUUACGUUCAACAUCCUCAAACAACCGUGAAACUCACCCAUACAGCAGCCAACUCGCCCAGACUACAGUUCCUUGAAGACGCUUCACAACAAAGCAAACAAAAUCUCCAACGUGCGGAGGCCCAGUGACUCGUCGUGGAAGCGAAUGAAGUGAAUGUGGAUGUGUUCUUUUCUCACUUAAUUUUCUCAUUUUCUUUAUUUUAUAUUUCUUGUAUCUUGCUUCUUUUA